rnacentral:lncRNA from 1 species
UUUCACAGAAAAUCAAGCACAGAUAUAUAUAUCCAUGAACACAUAUCCAACACAUGUUACCAAUAGCCAUGAACACAUAUCCAACACAUGUUACCAAUAGUCAUGAACACAUAUAUAUCCAACACAUAUCCAUGAACACAUAUCCAACACAUAUUACAAGGAGACAAAGGAGAGAACCAAUACCAAAGAGCCAAAGGAGAGAACCAGCACCACACUUGCACCUGGUAUUUUUCUGCAAUUAGGGAACUGCACCCAUAAGCACAGGGGGCUAGUACCAUUAUAAACUGCUAAAAAAUUCACUGAUGCAUCUUCACACAAAAAAAAUCCAGCUACUUGUGAGCCUAGCCUAAUUAAAUGGCCAUCUCUUUUACUUCCAUGAUAGUGCCUGAAAUGUCAGAUAUACAAGAAAGGAAAUCAUUUACUUGUGAAUAUUCUAAAUGAAGAGCAGAACCUAGAAUAUUUUGCCUUUGCUAAAAUAAAUAAAUUGAGAACAAAGAUGAUAGUUUCAAGUGACAACUCACCAUUUCCCUUUGGUAGCACGCCAAGGAAGCACUCUCUUGACUGUGACCCCCCGAUCACAUUCAGUUCCGCUCCCUGCAAGCACAAGAAUUUUCUUUCUAUUCCAUUUCGCACCAUAUCUCAGCCAUCAUUCACCAUGCAUCUGGACAACUUCGGACCCAGCAAGGUUUUUUCUACAAAGAUCAAAGUGUUAAGUAUAAGUUGUUAGGAGAAAAAGUGAAUUUUAUGGCACGUGUACUCUUUUCCCACCACAUGUAAAUUUUAGGAGGAAAAGCCAGCUACAGCCAUCAACCACAAAAUACUAACCAAUAUCCACAAAUAUGAAAAUAUUGCAAUGAAUACAUGUUGCAUGCCACUGCAGCCUGCAUCACUUCAUUAGAAACAUCACCACUUUCAUAGUAGCAAGAUACAAGCACUUACGCUUAUUCUAAAUAUAGGCAACAAGCAUCCAACCAGCAGAAUGGUGAGAUGUCAGUUCAUCGAAAACUGUUUGUUUGUUCAACAAGGAGAAUAUGUCAAGGGAAAGGGUAAGAAUCUAGAUUUAUUUUCUUUUAUCUUGCAU